UACGUCCUACGGGAGAAAGCAGGGGAUCUUCGGACCUUGCGCUAAUAGAUGAGCCUAAGUCGGAUUAGCUAGUUGGUGGGGUAAAGGCCUACCAAGGCGACGAUCUGUAGCGGGUCUGAGAGGAUGAUCCGCCACACUGGGACUGAGACACGGCCCAGACUCCUACGGGAGGCAGCAGUGGGGAAUAUUGGACAAUGGAGGCAACUCUGAUCCAGCCAUGCCGCGUGUGUGAAGAAGGCCUUUUGGUUGUAAAGCACUUUAAGCGAGGAGGAGGCUUACCUGGUUAAUACCCGGGAUAAGUGGACGUUACUCGCAGAAUAAGCACCGGCUAACUCUGUGCCAGCAGCCGCGGUAAUACAGAGGGUGCAAGCGUUAAUCGGAUUUACUGGGCGUAAAGCGCGCGUAGGUGGCUAAUUAAGUCAAAUGUGAAAUCCCCGAGCUUAACUUGGGAAUUGCAUUCGAUACUGGUUAGCUAGAGUAUGGGAGAGGAUGGUAGAAUUCCAGGUGUAGCGGUGAAAUGCGUAGAGAUCUGGAGGAAUACCGAUGGCGAAGGCAGCCAUCUGGCCUAAUACUGACACUGAGGUGCGAAAGCAUGGGGAGCAAACAGGAUUAGAUACCCUGGUAGUCCAUGCCGUAAACGAUGUCUACUAGCCGUUGGGGCCCUUGAGGCUUUAGUGGCGCAGCUAACGCGAUAAGUAGACCGCCUGGGGAGUACGGUCGCAAGACUAAAACUCAAAUGAAUUGACGGGGGCCCGCACAAGCGGUGGAGCAUGUGGUUUAAUUCGAUGCAACGCGAAGAACCUUACCUGGCCUUGACAUACAGAGAACUUUCCAGAGAUGGAUUGGUGCCUUCGGGAACUCUGAUACAGGUGCUGCAUGGCUGUCGUCAGCUCGUGUCGUGAGAUGUUGGGUUAAGUCCCGCAACGAGCGCAACCCUUUUCCUUAUUUGCCAGCACUUCGGGUGGGAACUUUAAGGAUACUGCCAGUGACAAACUGGAGGAAGGCGGGGACGACGUCAAGUCAUCAUGGCCCUUACGGCCAGGGCUACACACGUGCUACAAUGGUCGGUACAAAGGGUUGCUACUGCGCGAGCAGAUGCUAAUCUCAAAAAGCCGAUCGUAGUCCGGAUCGCAGUCUGCAACUCGACUGCGUGAAGUCGGAAUCGCUAGUAAUCGCGGAUCAGAAUGCCGCGGUGAAUACGUU
rnacentral:rRNA from 1 species